rnacentral:rRNA from 1 species
UACGAAGGGGGCUAGCGUUGCUCGGAAUCACUGGGCGUAAAGCGCACGUAGGCGGCUUUUUAAGUCAGAGGUGAAAUCCUGGAGCUCAACUCCAGAACUGCCUUUGAUACUGGAGUGCUUGAGUCCGGGAGAGGUGAGUGGAACUGCGAGUGUAGAGGUGAAAUUCGUAGAUAUUCGCAAGAACACCAGUGGCGAAGGCGGCUCACUGGCCCGGUACUGACGCUGAGGUGCGAA